rnacentral:rRNA from 1 species
UUAAGGUCUAACCUGCCCAAUGAGGUAUUAAAUGGCCGCAGUAUUUUGACUGUGCAAAGGUAGCAUAAUUAUUAGUUUUUUAAUUGAAAGCUUGUAUGAAUGGUUGGACGAGAUAAAUUCUGUCUCUAUUUAAAUUAAUAUAAAAUUUAACUUUUAAGUCAAAAGGCUUAAAUGUUUAUAAAAGACGAGAAGACCCUAUAGAUCUUUAUUUAAUUAGAAUUUUAAUAAUUUAGGUUUAUUUUAAUUUAAAUUUUUAAUUGAAUUUUAUUGGGGUAAUAUAAAGAUUUAAUAAAUUCUUUUUAUUAAUUACAUUGAUUUAUGAAUAUAUGAUCCAGUAUUAUUGAUUAUAAGAUUAAGUUACCUUAGGGAUAACAGCGUAAUUUUUUUGGAGAGCUCAUAUCGAUAAAAAAGUUUGCGACCUCGAUGUUGGAUUAAAAAUUAGCUCGGGUGCAGAAGCUCGAGAUUUUGGUCUGUUCGACCAUUGAAUUUUUACAUGAUCUGAGUUCAGACCGGCGUAAGCCAGGUCGGUUUCUAUCUUUAUUUAAUUUAAAUGUUUUAGUACGAAAGGACCAGGCAUUUGAUAUAGCUAUAUUUAUUUUUUGAAUAUCAUUAUUACUUUGGCAGAAUAGUGCAAUGAAUUUAGAAUUCAUAAAUGUAAUUUUAUUACAAGUAAUACUUGUAUUUAGGAGAUUUAUUACUAAUGGUAUUAUGUAUAUUACUUCUUGUAAUUUGUGUUUUAGUAGGGGUGGCUUUCUUAACUUUGCUGGAACGAAAGGUUUUGGGGUACAUUCAAAUUCGC